AGAUAUCGCAGAAUGCAAUCUCAUCGAUGGAAAACUUUUUAAGAGGCGAUUACAAGAUGCCUACUCCAAAAAAAUGGUCUCAUGAUGUCCGAUGUCCAAUAUCCUAAAGAGUUUUUAUUCCUUUCACUAUUGAACAUGAUUGACCGAAAGAUACACUGAUGAAACCAACAAUAUUCCAAGACUCUAAAUCGAAUAUCUUCAUCCCAUAAUUUUUAGUUAUGUUCACUUCAACUACAUUCAAUGGAUC